UACGUAGGGACCAAGCGUUGUUCGGAUUUACUGGGCGUAAAGGGCGCGUAGGCGGCGUGGUAAGUCACUUGUGAAAUCUCCGAGCUUAACUCGGAACUGCCAAGUGAUACUGCUGUGCUAGAGUGCAGAAGGGGCAACCGGAAUUCUUGGUGUAGCGGUGAAAUGCGUAGAUAUCAAGAGGAACACCUGUGGCGAAGGCGGCCACCUGGGCCGACCCUGACGCUGAGGCGCGAAGGCGUGGGGAGCGAACAGG
rnacentral:rRNA from 1 species